UACGAAGGGGGCUAGCGUUGCUCGGAAUUACUGGGCGUAAAGGGCGCGUAGGCGGACAGUUUAGUCAGAGGUGAAAGCCCAGGGCUCAACCCUGGAAUUGCCUUUGAUACUGACUGUCUUGAGUACGGGAGAGGUGUGUGGAACUCCGAGUGUAGAGGUGAAAUUCGUAGAUAUUCGCAAGAACACCAGUGGCGAAGGCGGCUCACUGGCCCGGUACUGACGCUGAGGUGCGAAAGCGUGGGGAGCAAACAGG
rnacentral:rRNA from 1 species